rnacentral:rRNA from 1 species
AACGAACGCUGGCGGCAGGCUUAACACAUGCAAGUCGAGCGCCCCGCAAGGGGAGCGGCAGACGGGUGAGUAACGCGUGGGAAUCUACCCAUCUCUACGGAAUAACGCAUGGAAACGUGUGCUAAUACCGUAUACGUCCUUCGGGAGAAAGAUUUAUCGGAGAUGGAUGAGCCCGCGUUGGAUUAGCUAGUUGGUGGGGUAAGGGCCUACCAAGGCGACGAUCAUAGCUGGUCUGAGAGGAUGAUCAGCCACACUGGGACUGAGACACGGCCCAGACUCCUACGGGAGGCAGCAGUGGGGAAUAUUGGACAAUGGGCGCAAGCCUGAUCCAGCCAUGCCGCGUGAGUGAUGAAGGCCCUAGGGUUGUAAAGCUCUUUCACCGGUGAAGAUAAUGACGGUAACCGGAGAAGAAGCCCCGGCUAACUUCGUGCCAGCCGCCGCGGUAACAC